UUUUUUUUUUUUUCCAGCUGAGAACAAAGCUGCAAAGAAAAGGCAAGCUAUUCACAGUGACCUAGGGCUAAUUAUAGUCAACAAAAUGUAUAAAUCUAGAAAAACAGAAGACCAAAAACAAAGGAAAUAUGAACAGAGAGACAUAAAACCAGCUCCUUUGAAGGUGAAAGAGGCCUGGGGCAAAGAAGCCAAAGAGAGCCCUGAGUGUGGGGGCAGGGCCUAUCCUUCCCAGCAGACCCUGAGGUUGGGGUCUCACCAUAUUUUUGGUAGGAUGAACAGCUGGGAAGAAGGGGGUAAAGAAGAAGGUGCAGCUUGUCUUUAUGGAAAGAUCGGUAUCCAGGAUCCACCCUAAGCUGGGCAUCCCCAGGCCUUGGACACGUCAUCACAAAGCUGUAAUAAACUCUGGGCAGGGCUCUGAAUUAAACUGGAGUAGUGACAGCAGAGACCAGGCUCACAAAACAUAGCUUUCCAUGAUCUAAAUGAGCUGUCCUCUCCUCUGUCUCUCCCACAACAGAAACAAACACAUCACCCAGGCCCCAUGAUACCCUCAAAAACAUACCAACAGGGCUCAGAUAGGAUGGGAAAUAAGUUAAAGAGACUCCCUCCCAUAGAAUCAGAGAAAGCAAAAGGUCUUAAAAUACUAAUAACAACUCACAUUUAUUGUUUACUGUGAGGCAAGCAUUAAGCACUUUCUAUGUAUUAAUCCAUUGGGUCCAACAACAGCCCAGUAAGAUAAGUCUAUUAUUGGUACGUAACUCAUAUUCAAAAGCCCUGGAGCCAAAUAUGUCUUGAAAUUUUUUUUUUCAGAUUUUAGAAAGGGAAUAAGGUGCAUGUGCCCUAUAAGAUAUACAAUUCACAAGUCUUAGAGAAGCACUUUGUAUUCAAACAUGUCAGUAUCUUGCAGUGAAAUCAAUGAAUAUUCACACUGAGUUGGAAACAUAAUAUGUGUAAAUAACUCAUAUCAAUUCAAAUCAGGCCCAGAUUUUGCCACCCAAAUGAGCUUGUGCCAAACUGACAAAAACAUAGAGUUUUCAGAACAUUUUGGGUUUUGCAUUUGUGGGUAAGAGACUUGGACCUGAGGUCAUAGCCCCUGCACAAAGGAAGGAAGUUAAAGCAGAGAAAGAUUCAGGUCACAAGUUUCUGUAGGUCAAACAGGUAGAAAGGAAUAGAAUCUAGACACAAACCCAGACUCCAGAGUCCAGAAGUUCAACUCCCAAUUGAUAAAGAUACUAGUGUGCAUGCAAGUAUUUAUUAAGCCACUAAAACUAAAUCGCAGGAAUGAGAGAUAUAGCAAUGAAUGAACAUAGACACUGUCGCACCCUCAUGGUGCUUACAGUUUAGCGAGGACAAGAAACACAGACGCAAGGUGCCAGGUGGUGGUAAAUGCUAGAGGUGCCCUGGUGACAACACUUGAGACCAAAUCUUCCUUUCCUCUCAUGUAACAGGUAACUCAUUUCCCUUUGAUAAGAGGGAUCUGGCAUUAUGGCCUGCCAUUUAAAUGCCUUGGAGAACCUAAAAUGGCCAGGGGGCAGUCUCUCUAAUUUAGUGCAACAGAAUUGUAUAACCUAAUGGUAGCAUCCCUCCCCUAAGCACUAGCACUGCCAGCUUACCAAGACCAAGGCUACAGAAAUUCCAGAUUAUUAGAUGUGAUAAAGAGAAGGGUCACUCACUGCUCCACUUCUCAGUUUCCAAAUUGUAUAUUAUGGCUAUGGGGGAAUGCUACAAACACUAAGGAUAUGAAGGCUGUACUACUUUCUGUGGGACAGCAACUGAAACGUCACAGAGUGUUAUCUUCAGGUUGAUCUCAUACCUCAGCAUUCAUUCAGUAGGCCUGUCUACUCUUCAGUCCAGCUGUUUUUAAAUCAGGAAGAAGCAGGAAGACCUCAUGAUUGAAUUCCAUGGGCCCGAGCUCACUGCCAGACUUCUUUCACUAUGAAAUGAGUUUCUUGGUUGAAGAUGAUUUCCUUAAAGAACACUAUGGCAUUUUGUGGGUCUCUCAAUGGUAGACAGUGGUGCUGACAAAAGGAAGGAAGGAAAAUCUGUAACCAGAAUAUGAAUCCUGUAAGGACAGUUUCCCCCACCAUAAUGGUAAGAAACCAAUACAUUUAACUUCCCAGAGAGUGGCUGGCUGGUUCCCCCUGAAGGAUGGAGCCAUACUGGGGACAAAGUAUUGGUCUGGGCUAUACAUAAGUUGGACACUCAGCAAGAGCAAUAGUCAGAUUAGACUUGGUAAGGGAGAGUCUGCUUUUCAGUCUAUGUGUAACUUCCAUUCUUGAUGCCACGCCUAUUUUGUCAAGAAGUCUUUUGAGCAAGAAUCAUCAUGGCUGGUCAAAGAGGCUGGCAUCUGUAGUACAGGCCAUCUUGCCACCUCAUGACUAAGAGUCUGUACUGAAUGGGUGAAUUCUUCUUCCUCAGACCUUCUUGUCACCACUCUUCCUUUCUAAGAUCUUGAUCAGUCAUCUACCCUGUUAGCAAGCCUGUGACUCAAUGCAGAUCCAUGCUUCAGGCCACCUUUCUUUCUAAGGAGAGCAACCACCAUAUGCACUGCUGAAAGUUCUGUCCCUUUGGAACCUCCCCUUCACUUCUGAACAUAGACAAGUUUAAGAAGGUCUGUAAAAGUAUGAUAGGCCUCCUCUACCAGCUGGUGCCUAUAUAUUAUGCACACCCAUAUGUAAAGCAGAUGUUCAAUUUUCCUCUUCUGUUAAGUGGUCAUAGGCCCUGACCCAUGAGGCCACGGGUAUGAGCUGAAGGAAAGGAAGUGAAAGAGAAAAUAAUGGUAACAUGUGAGUCUGAGCCACCUUUUUAUCAGAUUUACUUGUGCCCCCCAAAACUGCUCAAACCCAGAUCUAUUUUUAAGUAAAAUGGAUUGCUGCCAUGGAAUUUAGGCUAUGAUAGGUCAAAAACACCCAGAUCAUGAGGAGUUUCUCAGGUCUUAUUGUCCCUUGGUAUAUCAUGGUCAGCUAUUCCAACUCUUUUAGAAUCCCAUAUUAAAACAGCAAUUGCUUCUCCCGGAAUUUCAGCAGCAUAAAAGGUCAUAACUUUACUCUAAAAUCUAGGAUGUGAGAGCCUGUCCACAGUGAUAUUCCUGUUGAGGCUUCCUGAAGGCCAUAUACACACAAAGAAUCAUUACGUCCAAAGGAUAUGCAGCGUCCACCACAGCUUGAACUUUCGGUGGUGCUCUCCGUAGGUCUCUACUCAAACUAGCAGUCUUAUGAGCAAGUCAGUGCACUCAUCAGAGUAACAUACAGCAAGAUGGUAACACUGCCUCUAAAACCCAGAGUCCCACCAAAAAUUAUCUGUGAUGUAAAGUGCAAGGUAUAUAACUUGUCUUUCACUUUAGAAGGACUAUCCAGAUGGACUUCAGACCAUUAGAAUUUUAGCAAUUCACCAACAUGCAGAACCUUGAAUUUUCCUGGGGUUUAUCUCCUACCCAUAGACACACAAAUAUCUUACUGCUUGUGUACAUAAUUUGCUUGCUGUUUUUUGGUCACUGGAUCUGAUAAUCAAAAUAUCAUCAAUGUAAGGGAUCAGUGCAAUGUUCUGUGGGACAUGGAGAUGAUCAAGGUGCCCUCGUACCUUACAGCAGAAAGCAAGCGAGUUAACAUAGUCCAUUAAAAUUAUACUCCGGGCCCUGCCGUAAAAAUUAAAAAAAAAUGCUUCUGAUUUACUAUCGGAUAUAGAAAGUCAGUAGGUCUAUAGCUGCAAACUAGGGGCAGGAACUGUGCUGAUUUUCUCCAUAUCUGAAUAGCAGCACAAUGAUAUAUCCUUAUUCAAGUUUAUGAUAACCCAUUGCCAUUCUUCAAGAUCCAUCUAGCUUUUGGACCAAUCACACAAGUAAAUGGAAAUGUGACCCCAGUAUCCACAUUUACCACCAGCAAUACGGCACUGCUCCUGAUAUAUUAUUCUGGCCUGGUGAGGGUAGUUGGAACGGGGAGGGAAACUAAGUUAACAGGAUGAAAAGAAUGCAAUCAGCCAAAUUUGAAAUAAGGAUAAUUGUAUAAAACUAAUGACCCAGUUUAUUUAACAAAUGUUCUGAAAAGUAGGGAGAAGGAACGAUUAAAGACAAAAGAGCCUUCACAUAUAACAACUAUGUACAAGUAGGGAAUUUAUUUAGGUACUAAUUCAACCAAAUCACCCUAUAAGAUAGCUUUCUUAAUACAAAUGGGAAAAUUCAAACAUGGACUAUGUAGUAGAUAAUUUUAAAUAAUUGUUGUUAAUUUUCUAGAUAUAAUGAAGAUAUAACAGUUACAUUAAAAAGUCCUUAUCUAUUGGAGCUAUGUAGUCAGGAUGAUGUGAUGCUUGGGAUCUUUAUGAAAUCUCCCAGGGGUGAGGGGAAAGCAUCAAUGCAGUAAGACAAAAUAACACAGGCAAAACACCUAUAUGUGUCAAAACUGGAGGAUGUUUAUGUGGGGCUCAUAUCACUAUUCUCUGUAUUUCUGAAUAUGUUUGAAAUUUUUUCAAAACAGUAACUUGUUUAAAAAAAGAGACUCCAUCUAUCUACCCUCCAUAAGCCCCUGCACUGACUGGGAUGUCACAAUGGCAUAUUGGGUACUUAAUGAUCAGCCUCAACCCAGGGCUAGUAUUUUAUAACAUAGGAGAGGUCUGGAAAAUUCCCUUUUCCCAAUGCACUGUCACCCUAUAAAUGGCCUGUGGAAAAUGCUCGGAGAACGAUCUUACAGUGUGCAUUUGUGGCCAUGU
rnacentral:lncRNA from 1 species